rnacentral:lncRNA from 1 species
CACUGCAGGCUUUGUCAUCCAAAAAUGAGCAAGGAACGGGAAAAAAGACUUGGACAAAGAAUUAAGGAUCGCAUCCUUACCGAGCUGUUCGUACGAAGAAAAGCCCAGUUUACUUAGGCGCUCAAUCAUUUUGAUCAUGUACAGUACAUGAUCGGUGACUGAGGCCCCAUCCCUCAUCCGAGCAUUGAAAAUGGCACAACUAGUUUUGUGCCUUUUAACAUCGUCAGGCGUGCCAAAGGAGUCAUUUAACAUUUGAAGUAUUUCCUGCGG